CGCACCUCGCAGAGCUCCUGCAAAAUAUUUACACACAUAAAAGUAGUUCUGUGACGUAACAUAUGUAUGACGUAUCUUUGAAUGUCAACAAGUACAGCGAAUCAUGAAUGGCACGUGAAAUUCGAGGUCCUGCAAAACAUUCGAAGGACAGAAGGACGCUGUGACCUUGUAAGAAAAAGCUGAAGCGGUUGGAAGGACGAGUGAAGUGAAAGACAUGGAGGGCGUGAAAGGAAGUGAGAGUAGAAAAGAGUGUCUGGACAGAAAUGGGUGUG